GUGAUUGGGGUGAAGUCGUAACAAGGUAGCCGUAGGAGAACCUGCGGCUGGAUCACCUCCUUUCUAAGGAGUCAG
rnacentral:rRNA from 1 species